AUCAAUCUCAAGCCUCUUAUUCUGCAAGACACUCAUACAUGUAACUACUUUUUCAUGGAUGGAUAUUUAUAACAUUCUCAGGAUACCCUCCUAUCACCAAAUCUGAGUCUGUACCAAGAAAUUGAGUUAUUCUCACCUUCUUUCAAUAUGACUCUUUUGUCAUGGAAAUUAAGCUUUAUAUUUUUGAAAAUUUGGAGGCUGAUUUAAAUCCAAAUCUUCUUGCAACUUAACAGCUUCGGGUAAUACCAGAAAGGUAAUUCAGCAUCUUUUCUGGCCUCUCACAAGAUGGAUGCCAGACUGCAAAAGAAAGGUACUAAGACUAUCACUAAAAGUUACACCACAUGUGGAUGUGAUCCCCUGGAGCCUGCCUUUCACCACUGUGAAGCUCAGCACUGUCCAGGGGUGAUCCUGGACAUACACAAUUACAAAUGUGACCUCUGCAGACACUCACGAAUGUGACCUGACUUCAUUCGGCAGAGGAGCUAUGCCACCUGCAUGGUGUUUUUGUGGAAUCUGCUUCAGAGGAGACUGGAGGAAUUCAGGGCCUUUGCAAGAGUGCAAUGUUUGGCAACUAACCUUGGCUAGCAAACAAUUGUUUGAGAAACUGUUUCAGCAGCAAUUCUGCAUUUAAAGCAUGCCUCAUAAGGACCUGAUCACAAAUUCAUUGUCCUGAAAUUUGAAGGCUGUUCAAUGCCAACCCUGGCAUUUAAGUAGAUAAUUUUUCCAGAGCAAGAGUUUGAAGGCAGCUGGGUCCACCCUCAUGGUUCACAUUCACUGCUUUUAAGUAAGCUGCUACCUCUCAUCUUGAAUGACAUUACAUAUCACUUAUCACUAUUUGUCAGAAGUUGUAUCAAUAUCUAUACAGUAGCUGUUGCAUUUCCUGGAUGAAAAGUCUCAAUGUUUACCUUUAAAAUGUCAAUCCUUCUGCACUCCUAGCAUUCACAAGCCUGUUUAUCAGUUUGUUCUCCACUGCCAUGGAGAUGUGAUCAGAAAAAAUGAAGAAAGAGGGACAAUUUACAAGGAGGAAGCUGUAGCCAAAGUCAUCUGCAGAUUUCAAUUCACUUACUAUUUCUUUCAGGAAUCCUUUGCAGUGAUAGCAAACUGAUUUAAAACUGAGAUUUAAAGGUUUCAGAAUUUGUCCAUUUAGGUGACUGAAAAAAGACAGGACACCCAAAGAGUGGUGUGGCCAUCGCAGCUCAUGCUAUCUCUCACAGUAACAGCUCUAUUCAGACAGUACUAUACACAACACAUGGUGCAAAUCAAGAAAUCAUUUGAAUCAUCAGUGAAGGCAUUCAAGAUACCUGACAUCUCCAGCAAGCAGAGGAACAAGGAAGGAAUGGCUAGGGUGGGGUGCUCCAUGACCUGAGAAAAAUUCUAGGUGAGCUGGUGAAAAUCAAUUUCCUUACUUUCUUAAAUAAAUGUCACUGGAACAGUCUCCUUCAAAUGAAGUGAACAUGGCCUCCUGAUGUCUUGCCCUCAGAUUCUAUUGCACACUUCUGAAUAUGAACAUCUAGCAUUUUGGAUGUGCUACUUACGAAUUACACAGACUGACUCGUCCUGCUUCUGGUCAUUGCCGCAAUGUUUGUGACUUGAUCAUGAAAGAGUGCAGCAGAUAAUCAUUGUAAUCCUUAACAUCAGUGUAAUAACUACUUACUAGUGAUUUGGAAGUUAUCAUCAUCAUUCCCUGAUAACAGCUUUUAUAUCUGAUUUGUGUUAUUCCUAGAAAAUAGCACAUUUUCUUACUUUUUCAAUGUAACUAGUAAAGCAAGUAUUGUAUCUCAGAUUUGCAAAAUAAGUUGAAGAGUAAAAAGCACCUUAAGAACAAAGAAGUCUUGACAACAGCGACUUUCACAGGAUAUCCACUCAAAAAAUCCAUUGCACUUGCAUUUAAAAAAAUUUUCAGUAUUUGAAGUAAACUCAUAGAUGCAGAAAGGCCAUCUCUUUUCUGUAACCUGUUGUCUAUGGCAGUAUGUUUUGAGUUGCUCAGAGAGAGCAAAAAAUAAUGGCAAUCAAUAAUAAGUGAAAAAUUUUAACUUUUAAUUAACCCUGAUAUUAUCACUAGGUUAUACAUGCCUGGUGUAGUAUCUUCUAGGGUCUGUCUGCAGAUAGUAACAUUAACACACCACUCUAUGUAUCUGUCUAUUUCUCUAUUUUUCUAUUUCUCUCUCUAUUUGUCUAUUUCUCUCUCUCUCACACACUCUUUCUCUCUCAACUUGCUAAUGUACAGAGGGAAGAGAAAGACCUUAGAAGCUGUAUUCUACCUCAGGAAUUAGUACCCUACUCCAGAGCUGGACAAGGCAAAUAAAUACUGAGUUGCAGGGGCUGCCUGGCAUGGCGGCUGUAAACACAAUCCUUCUCAUGUAGGGCAGAAAACUUAGGCAAAGAAGCUUCUGUUUCCACUGUGUCCUCUCCUCUCGCUAAGCAGAAACACAACCUCUGAAACUGCCAAGCCACUACCUACUGAAAGAACAGCAUUCUCUAAAAAAUAAGAAAGCAAGAAUGUUUUCUUUUGAUCUACAAUCCAUGCUCUGCCUUUCCUCUGCACUGUUCAUACAUUUGCACCACAUUAAAAAAAAAACACAUCUAGAACAAGUUCCUUUCUGUUGUUCAUAUGUGUGAGCAGAGGCUUGAUCAUCCAAAAGAACGAGCAGGUGAGACGCAGCCGAGAUCUCAUUCAUUAAAUUCACACAGUUUUUUAUUCACUGGCUCCAUUGACCCUUUGCUUGGAACAUUUUUGUGAAGUUCUUGUGCCUUUGUGACUACAUUGUUAUGAGAUUUUAAGGCAGCUUCGAAGUGGGAUUCUCACAGGCAAAAAACAGCCUAUUUUGUGUCUUUUUCUUUAUCACAGCCAGACCAGAAAAUUAUGAUGAACUUCCACACUUGCCCUUUCUCUUUCACCAGGGCUGGAAUAUCAGGGAACAGUUGCACAUUGCAUAUGUUUUCCAUCAGUAGGUACCUAUGACUAUAAUCACUUGUCCAAAACUGGACGUUUUAUGUGGAUUUAUGAUAAGGUAUUAUAAUGCAAACUGUGACUGAAAUUUGAUUUUGCUGUUGCAGAGAGAGAGGGGAAAAUGUAUUUUCUCAGGCAGAGUGAUAAUUAAACUCAGGAGCAUGGCAGAACAGCUGAAUGUAAUGGAUAAGUAGCUGCUAUCCUGCAAUUAUAUAUUAGAGUAUUAGUGAUCUUAGAAAUGGUUUGCUAUUCCAUCAAUGAAUCCAUCUGAAUCAUUGAAUUAAAAAAAAUAUCUAAUUUCUUUAUGAGUCUUGGGGACCAUUGUGUGGUGUCUGCUUUUAGCUCUAUGUUAACAGCCUACCUAUUUUUUCUCACUUUCAAUUGAGAUGUGGUUUCAAAGGUUUUUUGACUUUUACACAUGCACACAUAAGAUACUUCAGAGCACGCUAGGUAACAUCAUUCCACAGAGGAACUCAUUAGUGUCCAAUACACAAUAUGUCAGGAUAAAAGUACAUUUGAAAAAUAAUAUGCUUCAAAAAAAUCAACCACUUCUGCUGCUCCAGAGUCAUUGUUAAGACAUGUUUAUGAGCAUUUCACUGACUCAAAAGUAUUUUUGUUGUACUAAAAGAGGAAGUUAAUUUAAUUAACGUUAGAAUCCUCCUGGGAAUGUGAAAAUUCCUUUAAAAGAUUUUGAAGUGAAAUUUUUAAAUUUCAAAAUCCAAAGCACAUGUCUAGUGAGAGGAUCUACACAAAUUAAAAACAUACCUAGAUGCUGAAUAUGUAAAUAUAUUUGUUAUGUGUGAUAUUAAUGUCCUCUUCAUGCACAGACAUUCAGCUGAAAAAUGGCAAUUCAGAAACAGAAGAAAGCUUCCACUUGCCAAUAUGAAAAAAUGGAAGGUACUUCCUUGAUUUUAAACAACUGAGAGGAGGAGGGGGAAAAAAGACAAAACCCCAGUUUUUAAACCCUGAUAUUUUAGCAAGCUAAGACUGAGACUCUUUUGUAGCAGAUUCCUAAUUUGUUCAUUUUACACUGUCUACCUAGAUCAAAAAGCAGUGUCAAAUGCCCAAAGCAGUGUUUGUCAGCAGUUCGUCUUAGUUUUAAAGCAUUUGAAUAGAGGAAGACUAGUACUUUAUUUCCAAACAGACACAGGAAGGCUCUUGUUGGCAGCCCGUUGCUGCAGAAUGAAUACAUGCCAUGAGUAUACACCAUUUGUCUGCUGAUUACAGCAGACCCCGGGGGAGCUGAUGUUAGCUCUCAUUUUCACCUCUCUCUCUCACACAGUGUCUCCUUGCUUUGGCAGUCAUGCCUCCCCUCCUCCUCCUUGCCUUCAUUCCUCACGGCUUUGAUUCGAUCUGACUUGGCAGUGGUAUAUUUAAGACUGUUUUCCAAAUUAAGAUCAGGCUGGGAUGUUUGAAAUGUGUUGACUUGCCUUGAAGGUUAACACAGAGAGGAAAAAAAAAGUGGCGCUAUUCUCAUUUGGAAUUCAGUACUGAUCAUAAUGAACGUACUUGGUAUUCAUGUGAAUCUCACAUGUAUUUCCCUAGGAGUGCUACUGUAAUUUAAUGCUGCUACUAAAAAUAUUGGGGGUAGAGGGGCACUUAAAAUAAAAUGUCAUGAAAUAAAAGGAAAGGA